CCUGAAGCAAGGGAGAAAGCCAGCUCUGCAUUGGUGUUCAUGUCCCAUCGCUUCCUCAGUGUAGACACAGUGUGACCAACCGCCUUUCCUAUCAUGACAGCCUGCACCCUCAGACUGUGAGCCACAAUGAACCCCCUUGUCACAGCAGUGAGGAAAAAAUUGAAUGCCAUGAUUUGGACAAGUUUCCAGAGUUUGAACAAGGUAGAGACAACAAUAAGAAAGUUCUCACCAGUCUUCGUGAGAAUUAAAUGAGAUACUACAUACAGCAUAUAAAGGCUCACCUUCCUGGCUUACGGACAUUGUUUCACACAAUGAGCAGAAGCAGUCUCACCAUUUUAAACCACAACCUGCCAUUUUCCUUUAGGCAACCAGUUUACUUUGCUUUUGUUCCACUGGCCAACAGGGCCUGGAGCUCACAGCAAACAGGUCAGAUGGGAACAUGACACCUGAUGCAAUUCCUCAGUAAGUCACUGCUGCAAUUUCCCAGGAUGCUUGGGAAAGGGGAGGUUCUUUCUACUCUGUCCCAGAGUGAUGAGAGGUGAGCACGGGCCUGCUGACCACCACCAGAAGGAGAAUUGUCUGGAACUGAAGCCAGCACAGCUGAAUCCAUCGAGAAAGAAAAAGCCUCCCGUGCACCCUGAGCUUCAACCUUCCACACCUUUGCAAGAGACAGCAGUGAAGAGCUGCCCGCAGUGCACCAUCACUCAGCAAGUCCCCGGGACUGACUAUCCCUGAGGGCCACACACCCAGCCUUCGUCCGUUGUCUCCUGCUUGGGAUCACACCCUAGUCUGACUGAGUGGUUUUCCUCCCUGUUCCUUUUUGUUGUUGUUGUUGUUGUUGUUGUUGUUGUUUUGUCUCCCUCAGCCAGGCUCUUGAUACUGAUGGUUUACCACUUACAGACUACUCCUUCCAUGUUAAGGGUUCUCUGCUGGCAUUAUCCCAGCCCCUGCCAUACUCCAUUUGCCUCAAGGUCUUUGUACAUGCUAUUCUCUCCACCUAGAGCCCCCUGCCUGCCAACUAACAGCUUGACGCUCUGGAUGUCCCUGUUUGGAUCCCUGUUUGGAUUCCUGCUCAAAUAGCACUGAUUUGGAGAGGCCUCACCUACUACUCCCAUAGAAGAAUUGUUCCUUCAGCCACACCCCAUCCUAACCCCUCUGUAGCACAAGUUCUAAUAGGUCUUAAUUAAAAAAAAAGCCAGGUGUCAGAUAUAGGGGAAAAUGCUGAAAGAUCAGAGAGACAAAGGAGCAAGCCACAGCCACGCCUUAUCUCAAUAACUUCUCAGAUGAAAAGAGACUAAGCUCCUGUCUCCCCCAACCUUAUCACUUCUUCUCUCUGCCCAGCCAUUUCACUUCCUGUUUGUUUGUACAGACCUCUAUGGUUAACUAGUGGCUAACUCCUCCUCUGAUCUUCAGGCAAGCUUUAUUUGUUAGAUUAUAAACAGGGUAUCACUACACUCCUUAGUUGAUAUGGUUACGGUAGCAACUGUGAUACUUAAUUAGGUGUUGGGUCAUCACGUGCACCCCUCUAGUUGGUAUAUCAGGGCAUUUCCUGCAAGAAUUAAAUGAUAGAGACCUUCUCCUAUGGCAGGUCAUGCCUUCUAGUAGCUCA
rnacentral:lncRNA from 1 species